rnacentral:rRNA from 1 species
UAGGGAAUAUUGGACAAUGGGCGCAAGCCUGAUCCAGCCAUGCCGCGUGAGUGAUGACGGCCUUCGGGUUGUAAAACUCUUUUCUGAGGGAAGAACAGCCGGGAUAGGAAAUGAUCCCGGCCUGACGGUACCUCAGGAAUAAGGGACGGCUAACUCCGUGCCAGCAGCCGCGGUAAUACGGAGGUCCCAAGCGUUGUUCGGAAUUACUGGGCGUAAAGGGAGCGCAGGCGGACAGGUCAGUCUGAAGUGGAAAUCCGGGGCUCAACCUCGGACUUGCUUCGGAUACUGCUUGUCUUGAGUUCGUGAGAGGAAGAUGGAAUUCAGGGUGUAGCGGUGAAAUGCUCAGAUAUCCUGAGGAACACCGGUGGCGAAAGCGGUCUUCUGGCGCGAAACUGACGCUGAGGCUCGAAAGCGUGGGGAGCAAACGGG